rnacentral:lncRNA from 1 species
AUUCAAAUAUCAUUUUCUAUGUAUACCUGAUAUGAAAAAUAUUGGAAAGCACUGUACUAGAGCACUUGGAUUUAACUUUGAUAUCGUAUUAAAAUCCAAUUUAGAGAUAUUCUACAUUCUUACCAUAUUAUCAUCAUUUUACCAGCAUAUUAUCAUAUUAUCUAUUGCAUUAUUAUUUAUUAUGAAAUACUAUUUUUUAAUAGUAUGUCCAAGUUUUAUUAUAAAAAUUAUUGCUGUCAUUAACUAAAUCUCACAAGGGAGAUCACAAGGUCUAAGUUGAGGAUUUGAGUCAAACUUGGCCAAUGAUUAAAGACAGGCAAAUUCUUGAAAAUAUUGCAAGAAGUUUUGUUGUUGUUCAUAUAAGCCCAAAUGUUAUGUCAUGUAUUAAUUAUAUAGGUACUCCUCACUUAACAGCCAAGUUCCAUUCUCAUGACUUGGUCAUAAAAGGAAUUGGUUGGUAAGUGAGUAAUUUGUUUGUUUGCUUGUCUGUGUAUAUU